rnacentral:rRNA from 1 species
AGCGAACGCUGGCGGCAGGCUUAACACAUGCAAGUCGAGCGGGCACUUCGGUGUCAGCGGCUGACGGGUGAGUAACACGUGGGAACGUACCCUGUGGUUCGGAAUAACACUGGGAAACUAGCGCUAAUACCGGAUACUCCCUCUUGGGGGAAGGCUUGCUGCCGGAGGAUCGGCCCGCGUCUGAUUAGUUAGUUGGUGUGGUAAUGGCCUGCAAAGGCGACGAGCAGUAGCUGGUUUGAGAGGAUGAUCAGCCACACUGGGACUGAGACACGGCCCAGACUCCUGCGGGAAGCAGCGGUGGGGAAUAUUGGAGAAUGAGCGCAAGCCUGCGCCAGCCAUGCCGCGUGGGUGAUGAAGGCGUUAGGGUUGUAAAGCUCUUUUGUCCAGGACGAUAAUGACGGUACCGAAAGAAUAAGCCCCGGCUAACUUCGUG